GAAGAUAAGUCACGGGCAUUACAAAAAAUUGGUACCUUUAUAAGGAAAUGUGAGAAACUGCCAAGCCACCAUAGUACCAUUACCAUACAUAAAACGUGCUUACAAGGACAACUAGUUUUUUCUUUUUUUUUUGUCAUCAUCUAAAUAAUACUACCAGUGUCUUAUUUUAUUUGGAAUUUGUUAUAAAACAUAACCCAAAUCAUAUAGAGAAAAUAACAUUCACACCUACUUGUGUGAGAAAAACUCACAAACACACCCACUUUGUGGGGAAGGUAUACUUUUAAGAGUUUUG
rnacentral:lncRNA from 1 species